GAGAGCGGAGCAUCAAAAGAAAAAUGCACAAGAUUGAUCCUAUUUUGGUUGAUGAAGUUGAUUCGAAUGAUGAAUAGAUUACUAAAAGAGAAGAUCCUGUACUUCCUGAAGAACCUUUGUGGCUUGACGAAGAAGAGAACUUAUUUGAUGUCGAUGUUAUUAAAAUGGUGUCAUGUACUCCGUAUGAGGAUGAGCUUAUUCAUGAUACUACAAUUGAUGUUGGUAGUACACAAAAUACAAGUGAAUCUAGUCCUUUUAACAAAAAGCAUAAAGUAGUUGAAAUUUCAGAUUUACAGAGGGGCAAUUCUUCUUCACAAGUUCAAAUAGAUGAAGGACUGCAAGAUGUGGAUAUUGUUGAUGAAGCACGAUGGACUAAUACAAACACUCUGAAUUUGAAUGACGAUGAGGAUGACGAUGAACUCCACUUUGAUAGAGAUUGACUAUGCCUUUUGACCUUUUUGCUCUCAUGGAUGAAACCUACUCUCAAGAAAAGAGGCUAGAUAAAGUGUAUUUUUUGAUCACUCGAAUGUUGAAUUCUUCAUUUUGUUCCCAAAUGGGAGUUGAUGUAUUUAUCUUUGAACUUUUGUAAGCAAACUUGUGCUUGUAAGUAGCGUAUAAUGGAUUGUUUUGACUAGUUUUUGUGGGAAUGGAGUACAUCAAUAUAUAUAUAUAUAUAUAUAUACUUCACUCAUAUAUAGUUUUCUUCAAUUUUUAUGCAAUUUUACCAAUUUUAAGAUAUUUGUUGUAAUUAUAUUAUUUUAUAAAAUA